AGUGAACGCUGGCGGUAGACCUAACACAUGCAAGUCGAACGGCAGCACAGUAAGAGCUUGCACUUACGGGUGGCGAGUGGCGGACGGGUGAGGAAUACAUCGGAAUCUACUUUUUCGUGGGGGAUAACGUAGGGAAACUUACGCUAAUACCGCAUACGACCUACGGGUGAAAGCAGGGGAUCUUCGGACCUUGCGCGAUUGAAUGAGCCGAUGUCGGAUUAGCUAGUUGGCGGGGUAAAGGCCCACCAAGGCGACGAUCCGUAGCUGGUCUGAGAGGAUGAUCAGCCACACUGGAACUGAGACACGGUCCAGACUCCUACGGGAGGCAGCAGUGGGGAAUAUUGGGCAAUGGGCGCAAGCCUGAUCCAGCCAUACCGCGUGGGUGAAGAAGGCCUUCGGGUUGUAAAGCCCUUUUGUUGGGAAAGAAAAGCAGCAGGUUAAUACCCCGCUGUUCUGACGGUACCCAAAGAAUAAGCACCGGCUAACUUCGUG
rnacentral:rRNA from 1 species